rnacentral:rRNA from 1 species
CAGCAGCCACGGGAAUACAGAGGGUGCGAGCGUUAAUCGGAAUUACUGGGCGUAAAGCGUGCGCAGGCGGUUAUAUAAGACAGAUGUGAAAUCCCCGGGCUCAACCUGGGAACUGCAUUUGUGACUGUAUAGCUAGAGUACGGCAGAGGGGGAUGGAAUUCCGCGUGUAGCAGUGAAAUGCGUAGAUAUGCGGAGGAACACCGAUGGCGAAGGCAAUCCCCUGGGCCUGUACUGACGCUCAUGCACGAAAGCGUGGGGAGCAAACAGGAUUAGAUACCCCUGUAGUCCCUGUCUCUUAUAC